rnacentral:rRNA from 1 species
CGGUAAUUCCAGCUCCAAUAGCGUAUACUAAAGUUGUUGCAGUUAAAAAGCUCGUAGUUGGAUUUCUGUGGGGACGGAGCGGCCGGCCGCAACACGCGGUUCGAGCUAGCGCUUUCCCUACAUCCUGCCGCGAACCGUGCUACCAUUAGUUUGGUGGCGCUGGGGAUCGGCUCGAUUACUUUGAGAAAAAUAGAGUGUUCAAAGCAGGCCACACGCCUUGAAUAAGUUAGCAUGGAAUAAUAACUAAGGACUUCGGUUCUAUUUUGUUGGUGUUCGGGACUGAAGUAAUGAUUGAUAGGGACAGUUGGGGCGGUCAGUAUUCCAAAGCGAGAGGUGAAAUUCUUAGACCUUCGGAAGACUAACAGCUGCGAAAGCGUUCCGCAAGGAUGUUCCCUUUGAUCAAGAACGAAAGUUGGGGGAUCGAAGACGAUCAGAUACCGUCGUAGUCUCAACUAUAAACUAUACCAGCUAGGGAUCGGCCAACGUUAUUCUAUACCGACUUGGUCGGCACCUUAUGAGAAAUCAAAGCAUCUGGGUUCCGGGGGGAGUAUGGUCGCAAGGCUGAAACUUAAAGGAAUUGACGGAAGGGCACCACCAGCCGUGGAGCCUGUGGCUUAAUUUGACUCAACACGGGAAAACUUACCAGGUCCAGACAUAGUAAGGAUUGACAGAUUGAUAGCUCUUUCUUGAUUCUGUGGGUGGUGGUGCAUGGCCGUUCUUAGUUGGUGGAGUGAUUUGUCUGGUUAAUUCCGUUAACGAACGAGACCCCAGCCUGCUAAAUAGCGCGAGUGAGCUUUGCUCGCUGCGAGCUUCUUAGAGGGACUAUGAUGCGCGAUAGCACAUGGAAGUUUGGGGCAAUAACAGGUCUGUGAUGCCCUUAGAUGUUCUGGGCCGCACACGGGCUACACUGGCGCCUGCAACGAGCAUAUCAGCUGGCCCGAGAGGGUCUUGGCUAAUCUUUUGAACCGGCGCCGUGCUUGGGAUUGACCAUUGCAAUUGUUGGUCAUGCAACGAGGAAUGCCUUGUAAACGCGAGUCAUCAACUCGCAUUGAAUACGUCCCUGCCCUUUGUACACACCGCCCGUCGCUCCUACCGAUGAAUGUUCCGAUGAAAUUUUCGGAGAGUGCCUGUGAACUUGGCUCUGCCUUGCGAACGGGAAGCUCAAAGUCACCUAAAUCUGAACAUUUCGAGGAAGGAGAAGUCGUAACAAGGU